rnacentral:rRNA from 1 species
ACAUGCCUACGGGGGGUAGCAGUGAGGAAUAUUGGUCAAUGGGCUUACGCCUGAACCAGCCAAGUCGCGUGAGGGAAGACUGCCCUAUGGGUUGUAAACCUCUUUUGCCAGGGAGCAAUUGGCGCUACGUGUAGCGUUAUCGAGAGUACCUGAAGAAAAAGCAUCGGCUAACUCCGUGCCAGCAGCCGCGGUAAUACGGAGGAUGCGAGCGUUAUCCGGAUUUAUUGGGUUUAAAGGGUGCGUAGGCGGAAUGCCAAGUCAGCGGUAAAAUCGCGGGGCUCAACCCCGCUCCGCCGUUGAAACUG